UUAAGUCCAAUUUGUAUGCCGUUGAAACGCCUGCCUACGUUUGCCGCUAGGGGCGAUGUUCCAACUGCAUAAAAAUUUUAGUUA
rnacentral:pre_miRNA from 1 species